AGAUCUCUAGCUGCUUUUAUUUUUUGUCGUAGCGAUGCCCAUUUAUCGUCUUCCACUAACGAGUUUUCAAGACUCGUCGGGGCCUCUAAUAAACCUUCAACAUUGGAAUCCGUUAGAAAUUUAUUGUUGCUAGCGAGUCUCUUAACCGUUUUAGAACUUGCCUCAAUUUCUGCCUCUCUUUUCUUGCGCACUACUUCCAAUUCCUCCAGUUGGGCAAAGGGUGAUUUUUCAACCGUAACAUUGUCUAAUAAUACCUUCAAACUGUGCUCCAAAUCCAUGUCUCGAUCAUUUGUUAUUGUUAAAACAUGAAUGCUUGAAAUUGCUGACCAGGUGGAAGUAAUCAGUUCCAAAAAGCGGUAUUUUUGUGUGAUUCCCUGCAUAUCCAAAUUACUGUCGGACCAAAAAAUUAACAAAAGUGGUAGCUUCGUAAUUGUU